AUACGUAGGUGACAAGCGUUAUCCGGAUUUACUGGGCGUAAAGGGCGUGUAGGCGGUCUUGCAAGUCAGAAGUGAAAUUCCUGAGCUCAACUCGGGCGCUGCUUCUGAAACUGCAGGACUUGAGUGCUGGAGGGGAUAGCGGAAUUCCUAGUGGAGCGGUAAAAUGCGCAGAUAUUAGGAAGAACACCGGUGGCGAAGGCGGCUUUCUGGACAGUAACUGACGCUGAGGCGCGAAAGCGUGGGGAGCAAACAGGAUUAGAUACCCGGGUAGUCCACGCCGUAAACGAUGAAUACUAGGUGUAGGGGGUAUCGACUCCCUCUGUGCCGCAGUUAACACAAUAAGUAUUCCACCUGGGGAGUACGGUCGCAAGAUUGAAACUCAAAUGAAUUGACGGGG
rnacentral:rRNA from 1 species